UGGGGAAUAUUGCACAAUGGGCGAAAGCCUGAUGCAGCAACGCCGCGUGAGUGAUGAAGGCCUUCGGGUUGUAAAGCUCUGUCUUUUGGGACGAUAAUGACGGUACCAAAGGAGGAAGCCACGGCUAACUACGUGCCAGCAGCCGCGGUAAUACGUAGGUGGCAAGCGUUGUCCGGAUUUACUGGGCGUAAAGGAUGCGUAGGCGGAUUUUUAAGUGAGAUGUGAAAACCCUAAAGCUUAACUUGGGGACUGCAUUUCAUACUGGAAAAUCUAGAGUGCGGGAGAGGANAAUGGAAUUCCUAGUGUAGCGGUGAAAUGCGUAGAGAUUAGGAAGAACAACCAGUGGCGAAGGCGAUUCUCUGGACCGUAACUGACGCUGAGGCAU
rnacentral:rRNA from 1 species